AUACGGAGGGUGCAAGCGUUAAUCGGAAUUACGGGGCGUAAAGCGCGCGUAGGCGGAUAUUUAAGUCUCAUGUGAAAGCCCUGGGCUCAACCUGGGAACUGCAUGGGAUACUGGGUAUCUAGAAUACAGUAGAGGGUAGUGGAAUUUCAGGUGUAGCGGUGAAAUGCGUAGAGAUCUGAAGGAACAUCAGUGGCGAAGGCGACUACCUGGACUGAUAUUGACGCUGAGGUGCGAAAGCGUGGGGAGCAAACGGGAUUAGAAACCCUAGUAGUCC
rnacentral:rRNA from 1 species